CAGGUCUGCAAGGCCAGGCAGUAGAGAAGGAGCCAGCAGGGGAGAGGUUCCUGCACAGCAUUAGAUGUGUCUGACUUCUAAGGAAAAUGAGACUCCAGACACAUUGAUGGGGCAUCAACAAGACUGUGGAUAGGAAAUGAGUGAGCUGCC